rnacentral:ncRNA from 1 species
AGUACUUGUAUUACUACUACUAAUACUAGUACUACUAGUAGUAAUACUAGUACUUCUAGUGCUAGUAUUAAUAAAACCAGUACUAUACUACUUCUAAUAGUAUUACUAGUACUAAUAAAACUACUAGUAGUAUUAUUAGUAGUAUUAGUACUAUUACUACUAGUUGUAUUACUGCUUACUGCUAGUAGUAAUAGUAAUAUUACUGCUAUUAAUAGUAGUAAUAUUAAUAAUUGUAAUACUAUUAAUAGUACUAUAUUAGUACUAGUAUUAGUAGUAGUACUAUUACUAUUACUAGUAGUACUAAUAAUAAUACUAGUAUUACUAGUAGUACUAGUAGUAGUAGUACAAUUAGUUGUAAUACUACUUGUCGUAUUACUAUUACUAAUAGUAUUAUUACUAGUACUAGUAAUAGUACUAGUACUACUAGUAGUACUAAUAUUACUAUAUUACUACUUGUAUUAGUAGUAUUGCUAUUAGUAUUAUUACUAUUACUAAUAGUACUAAUAGUACUACUAGUAGUAAUACUACUAGUAGUAUUACUGUAUUAUUAUUACUUAUAGUACUACUAGUAGUAUCAAUCGGGGAAGGUUUUUGGUGACAACACCUGGAGAUAUCAGAAGUGAGAAUGCUGACAUGAGUAACGAGAAAUCCUGUGAAAAACACGAUCGCUUGUCAGUUGUGUUCAGUCAAUCUCGCAGAGUGAUCCGGUCCCUAAGGAAGCCCUGAAAGGGCUGCCGUUCGAUGGGUACAUGAGAGUGAUGAAGUUGCUUUGACUACUGAACCAUGCCUGUCUGUUGGAGCGAAUUAGAUGAUCGGGCUGAGGGCUGCCCCCUCUUCCCCUCGCUCUCCUUUCACUAAGAUGAACCUUGAGUUAGAAAAAGCCUUUUUGACUCAGACGUGCCUGGCCCCCUAAGCUAAUGGCGCUUCAAAAGGCAAAACUCUCCUCGUAAUUUGGUGACCUAAGAACAAAGUAGUCAGUUGUUCAAGCAGUGGUAAGGCAAGCAAGGAGCAAAGCCAGUGGUAGCAAUGUCAAAGCACUCGUUGUUGAGGGCGGGAGAGCGCGGUAGCGCAUCCGUUUUCUUGCUGAGCGCUAGCGCGAAAGCCGUUGCGCGGUAGCGCAUAUGUUUUCUUGCCAGGAAAAAAUAAACCAACGAAUGCAAGCAAGAAAACGGAUGCACGGCGUGUUAGCGCCCUUGCUUCUUGCUUUCGAGCAUACGCUUGCUGGCUUUUUGCUCUUGCAAAGCACUCACUCGCUAGAGCGAGUGCUUUGAUGUUGUCGGUCCUAGCUUUUGGGCAAAAGCAAAAAACGCUCGACUACUUGAGCUUUGACAAGACUUAGCUAACCUAACGACUGAACUCGCGUAGCAAAAAGGGCUCUUUACUAUGUACUUGGUUUGGUUGGGCUUUGACAUUGCCCUAACUACUGAACUCACUGGGGCUUUGCUCAUUGCAUCAAAGUAGCACACUAUUGAGCAGCAGCAAAAAGCCCUCAAGAGGGCUUUGACAAGAGUUAGCUAACGACUGAACUCGUUGGGGCUCGUUGGCUACAAAGCAAAUCGCUUAUGAGGGCUUUGCAAAAAGCAAAGCUCUUGUUUGAGAGUGCUCAGCAAAGUUCUCGUAAGCAAUUUGCUUUUUGACAGGAAAAAGCCAUGCCAAUAGUUUGACCUUACUACGUGGAGUAGACUGAACGAGCUAGGCGGACACUUUGAGUUAUUUAAAGGCGAAGACGGGUGAAGACUCGGCCCAGCGGGCGCUCUUUCCCAUAGGUGAGCUCCGGCUCCACGCACCCGUUAACACCUUUAUAAGCAGUUUCUAGUGUGAACCCUUCGGUUGCCUUUCUCAUUUCAGUGCUCGCCUAGGGGCCUUUGGUCUUAGAAUAGGGGUCGCGAGAGAGCAGAGCGUACCUCCCUGCCAUAGUCGCGAGUUUGUUUAUAGUCGCGACUGUUGUCAUAGUCAUAAAGGCUUUCAACUUUCAGGAAAAAACUUUGAAUUGGGAGGGCGAUCCUUUCAGUGAACUGACCGUACCCCAAACCAACACAGGUGAACAAGUUGAGUAUACUAGGGCGCUUGAGAGAACCAUGUCGAAGGAACUCGACAAAAUGACCCCGUAACUUCGGGAUAUUGGGUGCUCUCCUAUCUUUUGAUUAGGAAAGCGGCACAUACCAGGGGGCAGCGACUAUUUAUUAAAAACACAUGACUCUGCCAAGUGUUAACACGAUGUAUAGAGUCUAACACUUUCUUGGUGCUGGAAGGUCAAAAGGAGAAGUCUUAUAAGCUUUGAAUGGAAGCCCCGGUUAAUGGCGUCAGUAACUCUAACUAUCCUAAGGUAGCGAAAUUCCUUGUUGCAUAAGUAGCAACCUGCACGAAUGGUGUAACGAUUGCCUCGUUGUCUCCGACAUGGACUCGGUGAAAUUGAAUUCUUCGUGAAGAUGCGAAGUACCAACGGCUAGACGGUAAGACCUUGUGCACCUUGACUAUAGCUUCGCAGUGACAACCUUGAUCGAAUGUGUAGGAUAGGUGGGAGGUGGUGACACAGAUCUCCCAAUCUUGAAAGACCACUCUUUCGUCUAACAAUGCCUAACUGCCGCACCGAUCAUUCGGGGGGGGUGGGUAGUUUAUCUGGGGCGGAUAAUUCCUAAAGAGUAACGAACGUGUGCGAAGGUAAAGAUUAUGCUUGUGAGCGUAAUGGUAUAAGCCUGCCUGAUUGUGAGACGGACUGGUCGAAUAGAGACGAAAGUCGGCCAUAGUGAUCCGGGAGUCCCAUGUGGAAGGGCUCUUGCUCAACGGAUCAAAGGUACGUCGAGGAUAACAGGCUGAUGACUCUCAAGAGCUCUUAUCGACGGAGUCGUUUGGCACCUCGAUGUCGACUCAUCACAUCCUGGGGUUGAAGAUGGUACCAAGGGUUUUGUUGUUCGCCGAUUAAAGUGGUAUGUGAGUGGGGUUUAGAACGUCGUGAGGCAGCUCGGUUUCUAUCUACCGUUGGUGUUAAAGGAAGAACUGCGAGGAGCUAACCCUAGUAUGAGAGGACUGGGUUGGGCCAACCUUUGGUGUACCGGUUGUUAUGCCAAUAGCAGCGUCGGGCAGCUAAGUUGGUAUGGAAGAACUACUGCGCCGUAGCUGAGCUGAGCUAUAGACUCACUCCAGAAGCAACGAGAGGAGUUUACGUCAGUUUAGUCACUCGUUGUCUUAAACAUUGGAAAUCCUUCCCUAUAGAAGUUCUCGUACGAUGUUUUUUAACAGAACUUCGAUAGGCUAGAGGUGUAAGCACCGCGAGGUGUGAAGCAAUCUCGUACUAAACGAAACUACUUUCUCUU